rnacentral:lncRNA from 10 species
GCAGAGCAGGGAUGCUGAUCCAAAACUAUACACAGAGUCUGUCUCCUAGGGCAACUCCAAAGCCCAGGCUCAGCCCAAGGGAUACUCUAUUGCCUCCUUGAAAAGCUCCUUCUGCAGAAGAGGAAAGGGGAAGGAUUUACCCCAAUGUCAGGAGUUUGGUCUUUGGAGGGCAUAGGGGGACAUCUCCCUCAACUCCCAUCACUGUUAUUAGAUUAUUGAAAUACAUGGACUUUACAGUUUGGGGGAUACAUGAGGCCUAUUUUAUAAGAGAUGUCAUUAAAAAAAAACUUCAGUGAGUUUAUUUUGUGCCCCAUAAGGCCUCCCAUCAGAGGACUGUGCCAUUCUGAUUAGCUACUAGCCUAAGAUUUGGCAGUGACAUGGCAAAAGCUCUCUGGAAACAUAUAGGGUCCGCUUGCCCCUACUUGCACAAAAUGUCUUUAUUUGUCUCUAGACCUGGCUGUCAUUUGGUUCCACUUCUAUCAGGCAAGAAAGGUAGACUCACUUAAAACAAAUGCAGUCAACUGCACGUUCCAGGCUGGGCCAUAUCUUUUAUGAGGGUGAUGUGGAUCAACACACAAUCUGAACUUUUCUGUUUCUCUGGCUUAUAUUCACAGGGUUUUGUGUGUGUUUGUCUUUUUGAUAACUUUCAAAGCUGAUUUUGCCGGCGAUUUCUAAGGUUAGCAACAUCACCCCAUCAGACACUUCUUUUCCUUCUCCUAGAUGAGAUCUUACACCAUCUAUUCCCAAUCAUGUUUUCUUGCUUAUUGCGUAAAUUGCAUUCAUCACUCUAAAAGGACUUGAAACACCUUGACUGCUUUCUCUUAUGUGGAACUUGAAAUGCAUCGAUUUCCGUUGCUACAGCCCUAGCUAUAUAUUUAUUAUCUGUCAGUUCUAGUUUACUUAGAAGUUGCCUGUACAGAACCCAGCAGUCUGAAACUAGCUCACCAAAAAAGGGAAUCAAAAGCCAUAGUUCAUCCACAUGUUGACACUUGCCA